UGGGGAAUAUUGCACAAUGGGGGAAACCCUGAUGCAGCGACGCCGCGUGAGUGAAGAAGUAUUUCGGUAUGUAAAGCUCUAUCAGCAGGGAAGAAAGUGACGGUACCUGACUAAGAAGCCCCGGCUAACUACGUGCCAGCAGCCGCGGUAAUACGUAGGGGGCAAGCGUUAUCCGGAUUUACUGGGUGUAAAGGGAGCGUAGACGGCGGAGCAAGUCUGAAGUGAAAGCCCCGGGCUUAACCCGGGAACUGCUUUGGAAACUGUACUGCUGGAGUGCUGGAGAGGUAAGCGGAAUUCCUAGUGUAGCGGUGAAAUGCGUAGAUAUUAGGAGGAACACCAGUGGCGAAGGCGGCUUACUGGACAGUCACUGACGUUGAGGCUCGAAAGCGUGGGGAGCAAACAGGAUUAGAUACCC
rnacentral:rRNA from 1 species